rnacentral:snRNA from 1 species
AUCGCUUCUCGGCCUUUUGGCUAAGAUCAAGUGUAGUAUCAAAGUCAUUCAGGUUGUUGGCAGAAUUCAGUUCCCCAUGGUUGUAGGACUGAAGUUUCCUUUUCCCUGCUGGCUGUCAUCUGAAAUUCAUU